GGAGGAAGGGGAGGACCAUCCUGAAAAAUAAAAAUAGUUAAACAUUAAAAAAAGUUUUUGUUUUUAGAUAAACCUACACUAAAUAUAUUCAUGUCACCAAAUAAUUGAUUAAAACACACUGUUUUGAAAUGAAGGUCUACAGUAGCCUCAACAGCACUCUGUAGAGCAGCACCAUGGUGUAGCCUGAGGAUAUCGAGUUUCCGUCUUCCUCUGGGUACAUUGACAGAGAGGAAUGCUAUGUUAGCUAGCUGGCUAUCCAACACUGGAACUCUUCCAAAUCAAGGUUAAACUGGUGGGGAGUCGCAAGAUGAAGGGGUACACCUGAACGGUUGUCGGACUUGGGAACCCAUUGAAGUGGGUAGGAAAAAAAGGAAUAAAGUGGAACGUAUUAAGAGUAAAUAGAGUGCUGGACAAUGAAAUUGAACAUGACGAGAUUGAGGAUUAAUUGACUGCGGUGGCAGGUGUCGGGAAGACCGCCGAGUUUGAGCCUCGUCCGAUGAGGAUAAUUUGUUUUUUUGGGCGCCGUUGAAAGGAGUGAUAACUGGAGUUGAAGAUUCCUGGUGUCUGUGACACCUGCCGUUUGGUGCGAUGCACACCCGGUGGAGAGCGUGGUGAAACAGAGAAGACACUCUCUGUAAUACUGAGUUUUGAUGCAGAGUUUUUCCAGAUAAAGUCAAGUUAUGGUCAUGUGGCAGCUGUAAGUAUGAGGGAGAUUCCUAGACGUGAGAAGUGUGCAGGAGGAAGGCUUAGUGUCGUCGGGAAAAGUUGUGUGUGUAAACUGUAAGGGUACCCAUGGUAGGGCUACACAUUGCUUUGUCUCAGAUGUGUCAGGUGAGAGAAAGGCAGGUUUAGGUUGCCAGGAUCAGAGUAGAGCAGAAGGUGUCAUAUGCUGAAGCAGUGACGAGAGUAGUCGAUGAAGAUGGGUCCAGGGUGAGGGAUCCUAAGAGGAUCCCUGUGAAUAUGGCAGAGAUCAAUAACGAGUGAUAGGAAUAACAUGCUUCAGUAAGGUUUUCUUGGCGUUCAUGGCCAAGGUUGUCAUCUGUACCUUAGGAAUGAAACGAAAAUCACAGAAGAUAGAUGUUGUGGUUGCAGCUGUAGAGAAAUACUUUGGUGUACAAGAUUUUACAUCAGAAAGCUGAAUGAUGGUGCCAUGACCUCAUAGGCUGUUGGCCUGGUGUAGGAUCAGAUGGGGCCAAAGUAGUGGAAUAUAUACAUACAUUAAUGGUUGUAGGGUUAGUUGGUAGGGCAAUUUCUUUACCAUGUGUAAAGAAUUUGUACUACAGAAUAUUAGGCUUAUUUAGAGCCAAUACAGUUGGUGGCGGCAUGCACCUGGAACAUUUGUUUGCUGACCGCCAUAAUACCAAAGAAGAAGAAUGGUUAAGCUUGUACAGUGCUAGUUCUACAGUCUUAAUGACACUGACAAAAGUGCAUGUGAUACUAAAGAGCCUACUAAAGUUUAAUUGUUAAGACACUCACCAUUUCAUUACUAUAUGAUAUGGCCAUUUAAAAAAAUAAUAUUUGCCAUACAUUUUAAUUUAAGAAUGUAUACAUAUAAAUACAUGUUGGAAUAUAUUUUACAAAACAUUUCCCCCCCCAAAAAAAUAUAUAUUUACCAAGUACAUCAAUAAAUACUCUUUAAUGUGUUUCAGAAUGUAUUUUGAAAUACAUUAAACAUUGAUGCAAAUGUUUACAUACAUUACAACAUAUAUUACGGAAUGUAUUUAAAAGUUAUAAAAUAUUUGGGGGCCAAUUUCAAAUAUUUCACGUAUAUACCCCAAAAUGUAGCUAAACAAAUAUAUUUUAAAUUUUCUUUUUUUUCUCGUAUGGGGAGUGUCCCGUGUGAGCUCGAAAAUGGGACACAGGCUUAGCUACUUCACUGUGCUCUGUGAAAAGUGGAUGCACUUACUGAAGUAAUCAGAUUACACUAAUAUGGUUGUUUACAUUAGUUCUCAUGAUGAAGACCGUUGUACUUCUGAGUUUACUGGUCAGUAGUGUAAUACAGUAUAUAGCAACAGAGAUCAUCGGGUCAUAUAAGUGGGAAUGAAUUUAUGUGCAAUAUAGUUGGGGUUCAAAAUAGGAGUCAGACAUUAUCUCUUGACCCUACUGCUCACACUUAUUGGAAAACUAUUUUAAUUCAUUUUGGGUCCUUGUGCAUUACACAAGGUACAACAGUAGACAAAAUGUUCAGCCAAACUAAAGUACAACUAUUUAUUUCUUAUCAAUUGAAUUGAAAUAUGAUUCAGACACAAUAAACAUCUGUGUUGUCUUGUUUCUUCUCCCUUCAGGUCUAGUUAACUAUGUGUAUGACACCACCUACUGGUGCUAAGUACUCGCUGACACUACCUACAGCAGAUUAUCAAACAAGGAAACCAUUCAGCUGGGGGAAGAUCUUCCACCACCACACCACUAACACACAAACAGAUUUACUUCCUAACCUUAUGUCCUCAAACUCAGGUCUGGAAACUGAGGCCAUCUCUGUAAGGAACUCACUGUUGGUCCAUGUGAGAGUGAGGUGGGAAAAAGCAUCAUACCAAUGACUGUAUUGAAGGAGGAGGGCCUUCUUCUAGCAGCCUGUGUUUCCUGUGCCCAUAGGGGGAGCCAGAUUCCUUUCAUGAGCAUCUGUAGAGCUGCAUCUGCACUGCUGAAGGAGAAUGCCCAACAUUCCCAGAAUACGAACACAUACCGCUGUAGAUCAGACUAAAGCAGGACUUCUAUACAGACUACUUAUAGUCAUGGCAUCUGUAUGAUAUAUCCAGCUUAUUACAGGAGUUUGGGUUUCUAAUGAAAUGUCUCUCUUUAAGGCUAUUGUUGUCAUUAAUCAUUUCAAAGAGCCAUGCCCCAAAAAACAGAAACACCAAAACAUUCUAAACAGCUUCAUCUUUUGAAGUUAGGAAUGUAAUUUCUAAUGCAGCGGUGCAGGACAAACAUGCCCAAAUAAAGUAUAAGACAGACUUCAGUUGCCUCAAAUUUGACCUUCCCUAUGCUGGUCAUAUGUCACAAAUGUAGACAAGAAAUGUAUCUACCUCAGAGCAGACCUGGGUUCAAUACAUGCAUAUCUGUGUAUUUUCAAAUGAUCUCACCAAAACAACUCCUUUAAUUUGAAGUAUUCUUUAAUAAUUAUAUUAAUAGCCAUUCUCAGUUACUUCAAAUACCCCUAGGACCAAAUGGACAAAUGCAAAGAGUAUUUUAAUAUUUGUAUUCGAAAAUACACUUCUGUGUAUUUAAGCAUUUAAGUACAUGCCAGUACUUUUAAAGUGUAUUUCCAAGUACAUUGCAAUAUUCAACUACUUGUAUUUUCAAAUAAAAAAUAUAAAAAUACUCACUUCAAGUGUUUUUGUAAGUAAUUGUGUCACGUUUGUCAUAAGGAGACCAAGGCGCAGCGUGAUAUGAAUACAUACUCUUUAAUUAAACGAAGAAACACUAAACAAACUUACAAAACGAACGUGACGCUAUAUA